GGCUCUUUUCCGAGAAGUGGCUUCUCCUUUAAGGUUUACUAUCCUUCCAGCAGAACCGUGGAGGACAGCAAACUGCAGGGGCUUUAAACAAGUGGAACAUCGUGUGCUUCAUGGUUUUAAUGUUUUUCUAUUGCACUCUUUAAAAUCUAGAUUCCUUGUUCGAUUCUGUUAGUUAUAUUAUUUGGUAAUGUUUGAUUUGUGUUGAUGCAUUUUUAGAGUAAAAUAAAUAUGGAUAAAAUGUG